UACGUAGGGGGCAAGCGUUGUCCGGAAUCAUUGGGCGUAAAGAGCGUGUAGGCGGUCCGGUCAGUCCGCUGUGAAAGUCCAGGGCUCAACCCUGGAAUGCCGGUGGAUACUGCCGGGCUAGAGUCCGGAAGAGGCGAGUGGAAUUCCUGGUGUAGCGGUGAAAUGCGUAGAUAUCUGGAGGAACACCGGUGGCGAAGGCGGCAUCCUGGACCGGCAUUGACGCUGAGGCGCGAAAGCCAGGGGAGCAAACGGG
rnacentral:rRNA from 1 species